rnacentral:rRNA from 1 species
CAAUAGUAUAUAUUAGUGUUGUUGCAGUUAAAACGCUCGUAGUUGGAUUUUGGGCCCUGCCUCGUUUGCGGUCCGCCGCAAGGUGUGCACUGCUCGGGGUGGCCUUCCUUCCGGAGAAACCGCAUGUCCUUCACCGGGUGUGCGGGUCUUUAUCCGGGAAUUUUACUUUGAAUAAAUAAGAGUGUUCAAAGCAGGCCUUCGCUUGAAUACAUUAGCAUGGAAUAAUGAAAUAGGACUUUGGUUCUAUUUCGUUGGUUUCUAGGACCGAAGUAAUGAUUAAUAGGGCUGGUUGGGGUUAUUCGUAUUUAAUUGUCAGAGGUGAAAUUCUUGGAUUUAUGAAAGACGAACUUCUGCGAAAGCAUUUAGCCAGGACAGUCCCAUUAAUCAAGAACGAAAGUUAGGGGAUCGAAGAUGAUUAGAUACCGU